rnacentral:misc_RNA from 1 species
AAUCCUCAAAACCCUUUUUUCUUUAAAGGAUUUUGGACUUGGAGGUCUAAUGCUUGCCUUUGCUUUCGAAAGCGAGCUCCUCUCAAAUGAAUUAGUGGGGUCUGCUUUGCCUAUCCUCGACGUGAUAAGAAGUUUCUACGUUUAUUUGGAUUUGGCACUGUCCCGCUUCUAAUUGUCUCACAGACAACGAUGGUGCUCCGGUCACCGCCAUCUUCUAUGUUGGCGGGGGGAGGGCUGGACCCACAAAAAGGA